GGGCACCCAACUGGGAUGGUCCCAGUAUGAACAGCACACAACUGGGACGGUCCCAGUAUGAUGAGAACCUAACUGGGAGGGUCCCAGUAUAACGGGCGCCCAACUGGGAGGGUCCCAGUAUGGUGGGCACCCAACUGGAAGAGUCCCAGUAUGAACAGCACCCAACUGGGAGGACCCCAGUCUAGUGGGCGCCCAACUGGGAUGAUCCCAGUAUAAUGGGUACCCAACUGGGAUGGUCCCAGUAUGAACAGCACCCAACUGGGAUGGUCCCAGUAUGGUGGGCACCCAACUGGGAGGGCCCCAGUAUAACGGGCGCCCAACUGGGAUGAUCCCAGUAUGGUGGGCAUCCAACUGGGAGGGUCCCAGUAUGGUGGAUGCUCUACUGGGAGGGUCCCAGUAUGGUGGACACCCAACUGGGAGGGUCCCAGUAUGGUCAGUACCCAACUGGGAGGAUCCCAGUAUGAUGAGAACCUAACUGGGAGGGUCCCAGUAUGGUGGGCCCCCAACUGGGAGGGUCCCAGUAUGGUGGGUGCUCUACUGGGAGGGUCCCAGCAUGGUGGACACCCAACAGGGAGGGUCCCAGUAUGGUCAGCACCCAACUGGAGGGUCCCAGUAUGAUGAGAACCUAACUGGGAGGAUCCCAGUAUAACGGGCACCCAACUGGAAUGGUCCCAGUAUGGUGGGCGCCCAACUGGGAUGGUCCCAGUAUGAACAGCACCCAACUGGGCGGAUCCCGGUGUGAUGAGAACCAAACUGGGAGGGUCCCAGUAUAACGGGCGCCCAACUGGGAGGGUCCCAGUCUGGCGGGCGCCCAAGUGUGACGCUGGCACUCACCCGGUGGCCGCGCUGUCCCCGUUGCUGGUGGCCUCCAGCCGUGCCCUCUUGCCCCCAGGUCCUGGCAGAUCACCGUGCCGCUUCGGUGGCCCCUCUGGGGACGUGGAGGGGACGCCAUGAUGGGUGACACCGUGAUGGGUGACACCGGUGACGCCAUGUUGGGUGACACCAUGAUGGGUGACGCCGUGUUGGGUGAUGCCAUGUUGGGUGACACCGUGUUGGGUGACAUUGGUGACAUCGCCGUAGCUCGGGGUGCCAUUCAGGUGGGUGGCACUGCCAUCCACGGUGGUCCCACGGGUGACAUCGUGAUGGGUGACACCUCCACAGGCCCCAUGGCCAUCAGUGACGUGGUUAUGGGUGACAUCUCCACGGGUGACACCUCCACGGGUGACACCUCCAUGGGUGACACCUCCACCGGUUCUGUGCCCAUCACCGACGUGGUUCUGGGUGACGUCUCCCCAGGUGACACUUCCACAGGUGACAUCUCCCUGGUUCUGGGUGGCACCUCCACGGGUGACACCUCCGUGGGUGACAUCACCCCAGGAGGCACCUCCCCAGGUGACAUCUCUGUGGCUCUGGGUGACAUUUCCACGGGUGACGCUCCCCCAGGUGACAUCCCCAUGGUUGACAUCUUCGUGGUUCCAGGUGACACCUCCGUGGGUGACACCUCCGUGGCUCCAGGUGACAUCUCCGUGGUUCUGGGUGACAUCUCCAUGGGUGCCACCUCCGUGGGUGCCACCUCCGUUGGCGACAUCUCCAUGAGCAACACCUCCUUGGGUGCCACCCCCACGGUUCCAGGUGUCACCUCCACGGGUGCCACCCCCACGGCUCCGGCUGCCCCCCCCGCCACCCCCACCCCGUGUCCCCACCGCUUGUCCCCUGCCGUCCCCUCCGGCCCCCCAGGCGCUGUCCCCGUUGGCGCCGGGCGCCAUGCCGCCUUUGGCGCCCGCCAUGUUGCGCAGGACGAACUCCACGAUGUCGGACGGGAGGUCCUCGGUGUCACCUCCUUGUCCCCCCUGUCCCUUGUCCCCAUCGUCCACCCCGUCCAGCUGCUGGAUGUGGGGCUGCUCGGUGCCGUGGGGCGGAGCCGUGGGGCGCAGGGAUGA
ensembl:lncRNA